GCCAUGUUUUAGUCUCUGUCCUUUGGUGUGAGAUAAGGAUACGUACGGAGAGGUUGUUCAAGAUUAAAGCCAAAGCAGAGUUCCAAUCCUGUGUGAGUCUGUGUGAUGCAUUGCUUGUGUAAAACACAAGGACCCUCGUUCGGGUUUUUCUUUAUUUUCACUGCUAGCUGAAAGAAAAUUGCACCAUGUGCACCGGCUUCGCGGUCCGAGCACGUGGGCUGGCAAGGACACAAGAAAUGGAGGCUGACCAAAUGGGGGUUAGUUGAUAAUCGGUUCAUACAACCCGGCUGAUUUUGAAGAACAAAGCAACGAUCAUGAGCAUCAAGAUGGAUGCCGAGUGGCUGCUGGUUAAGUCAGUAGUUAUUAGGUGAUGGCACCCGUUCGGUGAUGUAGCCAUAGACAGAAUGUCUUGCUUCAGAUCAUCUGCUGUUGUCUGUGGGGAUGUUUGGGAAGUGAACUCUGAAUGAAAGCUAAAGCUUCACUGAUCGUCAUUCUGGUUAUAUACAAACUAGAGGGCUGUUUCACAAAUCCAGGAUAGCGGAUUAAGCUGGGAUUUUCUGGAUAUCCUGUCUUAAUUAAACCUCAAUUCAUCUGCAUGUAUUGAUUUUUUUUAAUCACCCUGCAUUAAAACACCUCUAAUUCAUUUUGGUAUUCAGUCAGGUACUAUUAUUUUUUACAGUAUACCAUUAGAAAACACAAUUAUCAAUUUUAAAAUGACCCAUACGGACUCUGCAUGGGUCAAACUGUGUUUCUGAAGAAAGAGUUUCUAAAGACUGCUGUUCUGUAUGAAACAAAAAUAUAAACGUCAAAUAUUGUUGACAUGUGGAGUUAACAACUGUAAAUGAGCAUUUGCUGACAUUUUAUUGUACAAAAGUAAUAUUUCUCCUGAUUUGUGUAUAAUUUUUAAUCCAACUUGCUGUCAGUGAGCAUUACCCAGUGCAUGGGUGAGACAUGUCCAGUGGGUGAUCAGACAAAAUGAGCAACAGCUGGACAAUCCUUGGACUGGGGACAAUAAAACGCCAACCGAAAAUGGAAAGUUUUGUCACAAGUCAUAAUGCCUCAGAUGUCUCAAGUUAUGCGGGGCAUGCCUUUGGCAUGUUGGAUGUAGGAACGUCCACCAGAGCAGUAGCUACACGGCUCAAUAUCCAUUAUCGAACUAUAGGCCGUUUGUUUCUAACAGACUGGCACAACUGCUAAUCGACCUCAUCACAUGUAGGCCAUAUGUGACAAUGCAGAACAAAAGGAUCACAACUUAAAGGAGCAGUUAACUACAGGUCAAAUUAAAGACGAUACUUCCCAGAUAUUGCACAUUGUUAUAUUUCAUUUUGGUCUGUAUAAAUAUCUAGAAUGGGGAACAGAACAGAGUAACACAAAGGAAUUUGCUGUUAGUUGAACAUGUUAUAAUAUUGACUUUCACUGUUAAUUUAUUAGGUUUAUAGUUUUUCAUUUGUGAAAAUCUCAUGUAUGAUUAUGAGAAUAAUUGGGAAAUAUAUAUUUUAGGAUAGUUACGUAUUCAAUUGAUCUGCUAUCGUUUGCUCUUGUAACGGCAAUUUUUCUUUUGUAUGAUGUACUUCAAUUCCUCAUAAACCUCAAUAAAAAGAUGCUGUUUGUUUGGUGUGA